AUUAAUAUUUUAUUAUAAAUAAGAACGAAUACAUGAAGGAGGAUUUCUUUAUCAAGAUCGAAACAUGGCACAAACCUGAUUUGGGGACCUCAGAAAACGUCCAUGACUUGGACCCGAAUGCCUGGAAAGGGGUCGAGGUCAUCGAUAUUGACAUCGCCGACCGGGAUCAAGUCGAGCCCGGGGACUACAAAGCAGAGGAAGACCCGGCGUUAUUUCAGUCGGUCAAGACGCAGAGAGGACCCCUUGGACCCGAUUGGAAGAAAGAGCUGGCAGCCAAUGAGGAAUGUCCCAAAAUGUGCGCCUAUAAAUUGGUGACCAUUAAAUUCCGAUGGUGGGGACUGCAGAACAAGAUAGAAAAUUUCAUCCAGAAGCAAGAGAAGCGGAUAUUCACCAAUUUCCACCGCCAGCUCUUUUGCUGGAUGGACAAAUGGAUCGACUUGACGAUGGAAGAUAUUCGGAGGAUGGAGGACGAGACCCAGAGGGAACUCGAAGCGAUCCGCCGGAAGGGUCCAGUCCGAGGGACUUCCGCGAAUGAUGUCUAAAGAAGGAAAACCUUCAUAGAUCCUUUGCAAAACCCCAGACAGAGUCCUCUCUGCGGAAUCAGGGGGAAGUGCGGGGGACGAGCGCCGCCAAUGACGAGUGACUUCCUGUUUCCUGCUAAGGGACUUCCUUUUUUGAAAGAAGGCGGGACUAAGGAAGUUCCUCCCCUUUUUUCCCAAGAAAGGAAAAAAGACUCUUUUGACAAAGAAGAAGAAGAAAUGAUGGACCAAUUUGUUGUCCCCUUCAGUGGUUGUUUAUGGUUCUAUCUAAUAUAUUUCCCAAUUUAAUUCCCAAAUUUAAUUCUAAUUUCUUUCCCAAUUUCAUCCACAAAUUUAAUUCUAAUUUAUUUCUCAAUUUCAUUCUCAAAUCCUAAAUUCCCAAAUUUAAUUCUAAUUUAAUUUACAAAUUUAAUUCCCUAUUUUAAUUCUAAUUGAAUUCCCAAAUUUCAUUCUAAUUUAUUUCCUAAUUUCAUUUCCAAAUUUAAUUCUGAUAGAUUUCCCAGUUUUAUUCCCCAAAUAAAUUAGAAUUAAAUUUUGGAAUUCAAUUGAGAAAUAAAUUAGAAUUAAAUUUGGGGAUUAAAAUUGCAGUUAUGCCUCAAAUUAAAUUGGGAAUUCAGUAGUAAUAAUUCUUUUUGAAUUAAAUUUAGGAUGCAAAUAGGAAUUAUAUUUUGAAUUAAGUUUUAAAAUAAAUUUAAUACCCAAUUAAAUUUGGAUUAAGUUAAGAAUUAAAUUAAUUUCUUGAAUUCAAUGUUGGGAUUAAUUUCAGGGAAAAAAAGGUUGGGGUUAAAUUAAAUAUUGAAUUACAUUUGGGAAUAAAAUUGAAAUUAUAUUCCAAACUAAAAUUGGAUGAAAUUAAGAAUUAAAUUGAGGAUUUAUUUUCUAAUUGAAUUUCAGGAUUAAAUUGGGGAAAAAAGUCGUAAACAAAUUUUGGGAUUAAAUUGGGAAAUUAAAUUAAAUUUUUGAAUUAAAUUUGGGUGCAAAAUUGGAAUUCCACAUUAAAAUUGGAUUAAAUUACACAUUACUUUUAGGAUUAAAUUGGAAUUAAUUUUCGAAUUAAAGUGGCAUUAAAUUGGGAAAUAUAUUUGGGAAUAAAUUAUAUUUCAAAUUAAAUUUGGAGUAAUAUUUUUUUUUCAUUUACAGUUCUACCUUAAAAAUGGAAUUAAAUUUGGAAUUUAUUACAGAAUUAAAUGGGGAAAAUAUUAUUGAAAUUAUUAUUUAAAGAUAUUUUAAAAAAAUCAGAAUUAAUUGGGGGGAAAAGAGUCAUUAGCCAUCUUUGCAAUUAUUGUUAUUAAUGUUAAUGAUGAAGAUAAUAAGGAUCGAAUGUCGAAUUUUCGGGGAGAAAGGGACUGAUUUACAUCGAAAUUAUUCUGAAAUUAUAUUGUUCACUGAAUAAACUUGUAUAUAUUCCA